GACGAACGCUGGCGGCGUGCUUAACACAUGCAAGUCGAACGAUGAAGCUGGAGCUUGCUCUGGUGGAUUAGUGGCGAACGGGUGAGUAACACGUGAGUAACCUGCCCUUGACUCUGGGAUAAGCCUUGGAAACGAGGUCUAAUACCGGAUAGGAGCACUCAUCGCAUGGUGGGUGUUGGAAAGAAUUUCGGUCAUGGAUGGACUCGCGGCCUAUCAGCUUGUUGGUGAGGUAAUGGCUCACCAAGGCGACGACGGGUAGCCGGCCUGAGAGGGUGACCGGCCACACUGGGACUGAGACACGGCCCAGACUCCUACGGGAGGCAGCAGUGGGGAAUAUUGCACAAUGGGCGAAAGCCUGAUGCAGCGACGCCGCGUGAGGGAUGACGGCCUUCGGGUUGUAAACCUCUUUCAGUAGGGAAGAAGCGAAAGUGA
rnacentral:rRNA from 1 species